rnacentral:rRNA from 1 species
UACGAGGGGGGCGAGCGUUGUUCGGAAUUAUUGGGCGUAAAGGGCGCGUAGGCGGUGCUGUAAGUCUGUAGUGAAAUCUCUGGGCUCAACUCAGAGUCUGCUAUAGAAACUGCAGUGCUGGAGUGUGGGAGAGGUGAGUGGAAUUCCCGGUGUAGCGGUGAAAUGCGUAGAUACUGGGAGGAACACCAGUGGCGAAGGCGGCUACCUGGACCGGUUCUGACGCUGAGGCGCGAAAGCGUGGGUAGCAAACAGG